rnacentral:rRNA from 1 species
CUUUAACUCUGGCGGCAUGCUUUACACAUGCAAGUCGAACGGCAACGAGGAGAAGCUUGCUUCUCUGUCGGCGAGUGGCGAACGGGUGAGUAUAGCAUCGGAACGUGCCAAGUAGUGGGGGAUAACCAAACGAAAGUUUGGCUAAUACCGCGUAAGCUCCAAGGAGGAAAGUAGGGGACCUAAAUAAGGCCUUACGCUAUUUGAUCGGCCGAUGUCGGAUUAGCUAGUUGGUGGGGUAAUGGCUCACCAAGGCAAUGAUCCGUAGCGGGUCUGAGAGGACGAUCCGCCACACUGGGACUGAGAAACGGCCCAGACUCCUACGGGAGGCAGCAGUGGGGAAUUUUGGACGAUGGGGGAAACCCUGAUCCAGCCAUGCCGCGUGUAUGAAGAAGGCCUUAGGGUUGUAAAGUACUUUUGUUAGGGAAGAAAAGCUAGUUUUUAAUAAAAAUUAGUGAUGACGGUACCUAAAGAAUAAGCACCGGCUAACUACGUG